GGAGGAGCGCCUCCAUCCUGUUCAGACCCUCGAGGAAAGCCGCGGACCUCCAGGAGACCUCUGGAAACAUCAGGCGGAAGUCUUCAAGGAGGACUUCCUGAAGGAGCGAGGGGACAGAGAGAAGCUCCAUCACAAAUACGGCGAGCUGCAGAAGAAACUGAGAAAAGUCCAAGAUGAGCUGCACUGUCUUAAAUCACAGGCCAGUUGGACCCGCGUCUUGCAGCCCGUGGUGGACUGCAAUUGCAAGUGGGCCGAGCAGCGCAACGCCCGCGUCCAUAAGAAAUAGACCCAUGUGUGAAGACAAGGACGCCUCGUUGGAAAUCAUUGGCCUGAGAGUCUUGAGUGAUGUCUUCGGAAUCGGAUUUGGCCUAAAUGAAUUUAUGUGCCCAACUGUCUGAAGGACAUGCAAGGACGACAGCAAGGCAGGCAGCAGAGCAAUUUGAGGAAAAAUCUCUGGCGUCCUCUAGAGGCGUUUAAUGUGAAUUGCAUUUUUUACCUUCAAAUAUAGCACUGACCGAACAUGCACGUGUUGCCAGUUUGUUUGCAGUUUGUACAAUGUGUCAAUAACACAAUUCGUAACAUUUUCACUGACCUCAAACAGAAAUAAAGGUAUUUUCUUUCUACCUCACAACAAAUCUUGUGCAAUAGCGUCCUACUUUUGCAUUCUCUGUGGACAAUAUUUAUUUGUAUGUUCGUUGUAUGGAAUGCAAUUUUCGCCAUAAAAAAGCAAUAAUUAAGAAAUCAGUCCUCUUCCAUUAUUAUUAUUGUUUUGUGAUUAUUAUUGUUGUGGGUGUGACAAGCGACAUUAAGUGGUAACUUUCCAGCCAAUGAAAUGAAGCGCUUUACAGGUGUUUACUUACGCAGCCAAUCAAAUUUAACGUUACUUUGCGGAGUAUACGUAUGCGUCGGUUAGCUAGCAGGUCAAUUGUGCUAACUUAACACGUUACUGUGGCCAAAAGAACGGGCAGUGACACAUUCCAACACCAAGUCAAAGUAAAAAAACAAAACAAAACAAAAAAAAAACAUGGUUCUUUUAGAUGUAAUGGUUGUAGAAGUACGUAUGUGCGAAUCGACGAAAGUGACGUCAAACUGAGAGAAUCUUUUUUUCUGUCAAAUGACAACACGUGUUUCUGAGGAACUAAAGGGACGUCUAACAUCUUGUGGAUAUUUGUGCUAUCCAUUUAAAGCAGCCAGAGCGAAUUGUGAAACGGUUUCAGUGUUAAAGAAAUGACUCAAAGCGGCAUCCGGACAUCAUUUUGAAGUGGUACAUUUUGAGCGUCCGAUGUGGAUUAAAGUCCAAGAAAGAAGCAGACGGAACCACCAACCCGGAUGGACAAAGUGUCUAACCACUUGGAGAAGUGAGGACGGCCAGGAAAAAUAAGAUACAGAAGAUGAGGAUCUGGAUGGAUUUGUGGAGGAGGAUUGAUCCAAAAAAAAUCAUGUG